rnacentral:rRNA from 1 species
GACGAACGCUGGCGGCGUGCUUAACACAUGCAAGUCGAACGGAAAGGCCCUGCUUUUGUGGGGUGCUCGAGUGGCGAACGGGUGAGUAACACGUGAGUAACCUGCCCUUGACUUUGGGAUAACUUCAGGAAACUGGGGCUAAUACCGGAUAGGAGCUCCUGCUGCAUGGUGGGGGUUGGAAAGUUUCGGCGGUUGGGGAUGGACUCGCGGCUUAUCAGCUUGUUGGUGGGGUAGUGGCUUACCAAGGCUUUGACGGGUAGCCGGCCUGAGAGGGUGACCGGCCACAUUGGGACUGCGAUACGGCCCAGAAUCCUACGGGAGGCAGCAGUGGGGAAUAUUGCACAAUGGGCGGAAGCCUGAUGCAGCAACGCCGCGUGCGGGAUGACGGCCUUCGGGUUGUAAACCGCUUUCGCCUGUGACGAAGCGUGAGUGACGGUAAUGGGUAAAGAAGCACCGGCUAACUACGUG